GCCUCACUCACUGUUAUAAGCAUUUUUCAUUUAAAGUCAUAGGACUCAGUCAAACCUGGUGACGUUAACUUCUUUCUUUCCUGAUUCUUUAAUCAUGAGUAUUUGCUGAUGCAGACCCUCUCUUGUACUUGUUACCAGCCCCAGUGACAGCGACGUCGGUAUUGUUUUCCCCAUGCAAGUCUGUCUGUGUGUGUGUGUGUGUGUGUCAUCACUGCGAAAUGUGGUACUGGAGAAGCCAACUGUAGCGGGAGCUACCACAGAAGCGGUUCUGAGGGAUUUGCCAAGUGUUUAUAGUUCUGUCAGUCUGUGACAGAUUUUGUCUCAGCGAUGGCAUUCUAACCUCGCAGGGUGCAGUUAUGUAACGGUGUAUAGGUGUGCAGUUGUGAUCCAAACGGAUGCAAUUUGGAGUCUUAACACAGUUGUACAGUAAAAAAUGAAGGCAGAUUUUGAAGAUGCGUGUGGUCAGAGGGAGCAAGGCGUUAGGGAGUAGGAAGUGAGGUCCUCUCUCUCCUCCAUCUCCAGUGCCAACAAAAUAGUUUCCACCAACAACAGAACUUUAGAGUAUAGUAGCAAGAUAGAGAAGGUUGGCAGCGGCGUCUGGUAUAGGUGGCGUCUGGGAUAGGUGGCGUCUGGGAUAGGUGGCGUCUGGGAUAGGUGGCGUCUUGGGUUUCAUAUUGUGUCACUCCUGUGACGCAAAUCAUUCGGCCCUCGUUAUUUCCUUCACAGAACAUGUAACCAAGCAAAUAAAAUCCACAGGAAUCACACAACAAAGGGAUUCUUCUGGUCCCCACACUUCUCUCAGCGAGCCUAAAUUGUUUUUCUGCUUUGAGAAAAAUUGUAACAUUUGUGACCUCAAAGCCUCAGUCUCAAAGAAAGGACCUUUUCAAUUUCCAAAUGUUGGUAACUCGAAAUAGUUUACAGUUGUAUAGAGUAUGUCUUAUUCCUUUUAUGAAGAAUUGAGGUAUUCAUUGUGAUUGAAAGAAGAACAGCACUCAUGUUCCCUUUCUUGUGUGUUCUGCAG
ensembl:lncRNA